AGGACGAACGCUGGCGGCGUGCUUAACACAUGCAAGUGGAGCGACGAACCAGGCUUCGGCCUGGGGCAGAGCCGCGAACGGGUGAGUAACACGUGGGUUACCUGCCCCGAUGACUGGGACAACCCGGGGAAACCCGGGCUAAUACCAGAUGUGCCCUUAGGGGGAAAGGAAGCUUCGGCCUCCGCAUCGGGAUGGGCCCGCGGCGCAUUAGCUUGUUGGUGGGGUAACGGCCCACCAAGGCGACGAUGCGUAGCUGGUCUGAGAGGACGAUCAGCCACACUGGGACUGAGACACGGCCCAGACUCCUACGGGAGGCAGCAGUGGGGAAUCUUGCGCAAUGCGCGAAAGCGUGACGCAGCAACGCCGCGUGGGGGAAGACGGCCUUCGGGUUGUAAACCCCUUUCAGUUGGGACGAAGCUCCGUCGGUGAACAGCCGGCUGGAGUGACGGUACCUUCAGAAGAAGCCCCGGCUAACUACGUGCCAGCAGCCGC
rnacentral:rRNA from 1 species